rnacentral:rRNA from 1 species
GGCGGGUGCUAUACUGCAAGUCGAACGAACUCUGGUAUUGAUUGGUGCUUGCAUCAUGAUUUACAUUUGAGUGAGUGGCGAACUGGUGAGUAACACGUGGGAAACCUGCCCAGAAGCGGGGGAUAACACCUGGCAACAGAUGCUAAUACCGCAUAACAACUUGGACCGCAUGGUCCGAGCUUGAAAGAUGGCUUCGGCUAUCACUUUUGGAUGGUCCCGCGGCGUAUUAGCUAGAUGGUGGGGUAACGGCUCACCAUGGCAAUGAUACGUAGCCGACCUGAGAGGGUAAUCGGCCACAUUGGGACUGAGACACGGCCCAAACUCCUACGGGAGGCAGCAGUAGGGAAUCUUCCACAAUGGACGAAAGUCUGAUGGAGCAACGCCGCGUGAGUGAAGAAGGGUUUCGGCUCGUAAAACUCUGUUGUUAAAGAAGAACAUAUCUGAGAGUAACUGUUCAGGUAUUGACGGUAUUUAACCAGAAAGCCACGGCUAACUACGUGCCAGCAGCCGCGGUAAUACGUAGGUGGCAAGCGUUGUCCGGAUUUAUUGGGCGUAAAGCGAGCGCAGGCGGUUUUUUAAGUCUGAUGUGAAAGCCUUCGGCUCAACCGAAGAAGUGCAUCGGAAACUGGGAAACUUGAGUGCAGAAGAGGACAGUGGAACUCCAUGUGUAGCGGUGAAAUGCGUAGAUAUAUGGAAGAACACCAGUGGCGAAGGCGGCUGUCUGGUCUGUAACUGACGCUGAGGCUCGAAAGUAUGGGUAGCAAACAGGAUUAGAUACCCUGGUAGUCCAUACCGUAAACGAUGAAUGCUAAGUGUUGGAGGGUUUCCGCCCUUCAGUGCUGCAGCUAACGCAUUAAGCAUUCCGCCUGGGGAGUACGGCCGCAAGGCUGAAACUCAAAGGAAUUGACGGGGGCCCGCACAAGCGGUGGAGCAUGUGGUUUAAUUCGAAGCUACGCGAAGAACCUUACCAGGUCUUGACAUACUAUGCAAAUCUAAGAGAUUAGACGUUCCCUUCGGGGACAUGGAUACAGGUGGGUGCAUGGAUUGUCGUCAGCUCGUGUCGUGAGAUGUUGGGGAUAGUUCCGCCAACCGAGCGCUAUCUUACUAUCAGCUUG